UACGAAGGGGGCUAGCGUUGCUCGGAAUUACUGGGCGUAAAGCGCACGUAGGCGGCUUUCUAAGUCGGGGGUGAAAUCCUGGAGCUCAACUCCAGAACUGCCUUUGAUACUGACGAUCUCGAGUCCGGGAGAGGUGAGUGGAACUGCGAGUGUAGAGGUGAAAUUCGUAGAUAUUCGCAAGAACACCAGUGGCGAAGGCGGCUCACUGGCCCGGUACUGACGCUGAGGUGCGAAAGCGUGGGGAGCAACAGG
rnacentral:rRNA from 1 species